UUACACGCACUAAUUCUGCUGCUACAACGCAUCGCACUACUUGCAACUAGAGAGACAUAGUGGUGCAAGUAGUGCGAUGCGUUGUAGCAGCAGAAUUAGUGCGUGUAAUAAUCU
rnacentral:pre_miRNA from 1 species